rnacentral:misc_RNA from 1 species
AAGUCGUAACAAGGUUUCCGUAGGUGAACCUGCGGAAGGAUCAUUACUGAAUUGUCAACAAGAGUUGUUGCUGGUCCCCAAAUGGGGGCAUGUGCACGCUCUGUUCACACAUCCACUCACACCCUGUGCACCCUCUGUAGUUCUAUGGUCGGGAGGCCUGUCCUCCUGCUGUGGUUCUGCAUCUUUACACACACACUGUAACAAAGUCUCAUGGAAUGCAUGCCGCGUUUAACGCAAUACAAUACAACUUUCAGCAACGGAUCUCUUGGCUCUC